UACGUAGGGGGCAAGCGUUGUCCGGAUUUAUUGGGCGUAAAGAGCGUGUAGGCGGCCGUACAGGUCAGCUGUGAAAACUCGAGGCUCAACCUCGAGACGUCGGUUGAAACCGUUUGGCUAGAGUCCGGAAGAGGAGAGUGGAAUUCCCGGUGUAGCGGUGAAAUGCGCAGAUAUCGGGAAGAACACCCGUGGCGAAGGCGGCUCUCUGGGACGGUACUGACGCUGAGACGCGAAAGCGUGGGGAGCGAACAGG
rnacentral:rRNA from 1 species